rnacentral:rRNA from 1 species
GAUGAACGCUGGCGGCGUGCCUAAUACAUGCAAGUCGAGCGAACAGACGCGGCGCUUGCUCCUUCGACGUUAGCGGCGGACGUGUGAGUAACACGUAGGUACCCUCCCUAUAAGACUGGGAUCAUUUCGGGAAACCGGCGCUAAUACCGUAUAAUAUUUCGCACCACAUGGUUCGAUAGUGAAAGUUGGCUUUUCUAUCACUUAUAGAUGGACCUGCGCCGUAUUAGCUAGUUGGUAAGUUAACGGCUUACCAAGGCAACGAUACGUAGCCGACCUGAGAGGGUGAUCGGCGACACGGGAAGUGAGACACGGUCAAGAGUACUGAGGGAGGCAGCAGAAGGGAAUCUGCCGCAAUGGGCGAAAGCCUGACGGAGUAAGGGCGAGUGAGAGAUGAAGGCGUUCGGAUCGGAAAACUCGGUUACUAGGGAAGAACAAACGUGGAAGGAGAUGUGCACGGCGUGACGGUACCGAAUCAGAAAGCAACGGCUAACUACGUG